ensembl:snRNA U6 U6 spliceosomal RNA
UUAUACUAAAUUUGGAACUAUACUAAAAUUGGAAUGAUACAGAGAAGAUUAGCAUGGCCCCCCACACAAGGAUGACACCCAAAUUCUUGAAGCCUUCCAUAUUUUU